CACGUAGGGCGCAAGCGUUGUCCGGAAUUAUUGGGCGUAAAGAGCUCGUAGGCGGUCUGUUGCGUCUGCUGUGAAAACUCGGGGCUUAACCCCGAGCCUGCAGUGGAUACGGGCAGACUAGAGGUAGGUAGGGGAGAAUGGAAUUCCCGGUGUAGCGGUGAAAUGCGCAGAUAUCGGGAAGAACACCCGUGGCGAAGGCGGCUCUCUGGGACGGAACUGACGCUGAGACGCGAAAGCGUGGGGAGCGAACAGG
rnacentral:rRNA from 1 species